rnacentral:lncRNA from 1 species
CAUGGGUAUGAAAUUAUGUCAAGCUCAAAUCUUUAUGUAUCCCAAUCUAAUAAUGAUGACUCGAUUGAUGAAUCAUUAAAUUUUUUUUUAAUAUUCAUCCUGAUUCUGGCAAGAGAUUUUUUGAGUCAUCAGCUUAUGAGACCACAUAGGAUAUUUUUUUCUCUUACAAGGAGUGACCGAUUUCUUGUUAACCACUCACAACCUCCAUGCAUACUUCACCACACCC